AGAGUUUGAUCCUGGCUCAGGACGAACGCUGGCGGCGCGCCUAACACAUGCAAGUCGAACGGAGCUGAGAGGAGCUUGCUUUUCUUAGCUUAGUGGCGAACGGGUGAGUAACGCGUGAGUAACCUGCCCUGGAGUGGGGGACAACAGUUGGAAACGACUGCUAAUACCGCAUAAGCCCACGGCCCGGCAUCGGGCUGGGGGAAAAGGAUUUAUUCGCUUCAGGAUGGACUCGCGUCCAAUUAGCUAGUUGGUGAGGUAACGGCCCACCAAGGCGACGAUUGGUAGCCGGACUGAGAGGUUGAACGGCCACAUUGGGACUGAGACACGGCCCAGACUCCUACGGGAGGCAGCAGUGGGGGAUAUUGCACAAUGGGGGAAACCCUGAUGCAGCGACGCCGCGUGGAGGAAGAAGGUUUUCGGAUUGUAAACUCCUGUCGUUAGGGACGAUAAUGACGGUACCUAACAAGAAAGCACCGGCUAACUACGUGCCAGCAGCCGCGGUAAAACGUAGGGUGCAAGCGUUGUCCGGAAUUACUGGGUGUAAAGGGAGCGCAGGCGGACCGGCAAGUUGGAAGUGAAAACUAUGGGCUCAACCCAUAAAUUGCUUUCAAAACUGCUGGCCUUGAGUAGUGCAGAGGUAGGUGGAAUUCCCGGUGUAGCGGUGGAAUGCGUAGAUAUCGGGAGGAACACCAGUGGCGAAGGCGGCCUACUGGGCACCAACUGACGCUGAGGCUCGAAAGUGUGGGUAGCAAACAGGAUUAGAUACCCUGGUAGUCCACACCGUAAACGAUGAUUACUAGGUGUUGGAGGAUUGACCCCUUCAGUGCCGCAGUUAACACAAUAAGUAAUCCACCUGGGGAGUACGACCGCAAGGUUGAAACUCAAAGGAAUUGACGGGGGCCCGCACAAGCAGUGGAGUAU
rnacentral:rRNA from 1 species